AAAGGUAGCGUAAUCAUUAGUUUUUUAAUUGAAAGCUUGUAUGAAAGGUUGGACGAGAUAAAUACUGUCUUUAUUUAAUUUAGUUUAGAAUUUAACUUUUGAGUGAAAAGGCUUAAAUUUAAUUAAUAGACGAGAAGACCCUAUAGAUCUUUAUAAUUUAUUUAUUAGCCGUGUUAGGAUUAUUUAUUGGUUAAUAAAAAUAUUUAUUUUAUUGGGGUAAUAUGAAGAUUUAAUAAAUUCUUUGAUUAAUAAACAAAGAUAAUUGAUUAUUUGAUCCAUUAUUAUUGAUUGCAAGAUUAAGUUACCUUAGGGAUAACAGCGUAAUUUUUUUUGAGAGUUCAUAUCGAUAAAAAAGU
rnacentral:rRNA from 1 species